rnacentral:lncRNA from 1 species
GAAAACAAAACUUCAGCUAACAAGAAAUCCCGAGAAGUCGAAGCGAGAGGGGCGGUGUGCACUCGAGUAGGGUGAGCAAAAUGUGAAGAUCUAAAGCAGGUCUUGUGAGCUUGUGGCAUAGCGGCAUGGUGGAUGUUUUGCAUAAUGUAGAUCGUUAGGGUUUCGUAUGGCAUGGGUCUUAGAAUUUGAGCAGUGGUGUUAGGAUUUCUUAUGGCAUGGACCCUUGAAUUUUAGGGCUCGAAGUUUUAGAGGUAUGAAGAAGAAGAAGGAUAUCGCCAGAGAGAUGAGGCGGCUGGCCAUGGAUUUAGGAGUUAGGGAAUUUUAUGUUUAU